UUUUGGCAGACCAGACAUGAGCCGAGUCCACACUACGUUAAACUUACGGACAUGUGGGAGCAGCCGUUAGCAUUUAGCAUUAGCGGCUUGGUUAUUUUGGCUUGACCUACAGAAAACGAUCCAGAGACUUUUAAAAUCAAGCUUUUCUAGCGUUGGAUAGAUAGGUUACCAAGUGGUUUAAACUACGUAGCUUCUUAGCUAUCGUACAAUAACGUUACAGCAUAUAUCCUAGACGAAGUCACGUUAGCUAACGUUAUAGCUAACCUUUUGGAGCUGAUGCCCACGUUGACCAAGGGAAAGCAACUUCCCAGCUGUGAAUCUACAGAAGUCAGGCUAAGAAAUGCGAUGAUAGACACGGUAAUUUCUUCUACCUUGAAGAACAAUAUCGAAGAAAAAAAACAGGCUGUUCGUGGCUCCAAGAUGUAAAAGUACUGGUUGGCAGUAAAGUGAUUCAGAAGUGAUUGCCUGCCUGUCGCUGCAGACAGUGCGUGUUGGUGUUAUGUACUAGCAGCAGCGUCACAUCCCCUCUCCUCCUCACAGAGGCGUGUUUAACCCAUUGACAUAUGGUUUAACCUACUGCAUUUUUGCUGCUGGUGUCAUCCAUGGUUUGUGUAAUCAAGAUCCACUGGUUAACGGUGGAACAAAAAAGCAACUCACCUCUCUGGGCCUAGACCAGCCUGGAUGCGUGUGGCACUGUAUCUCUGAGCUGCAGUUUCAUGUCCAUGGCCAUGAUGUGAGGUUUGCCGAACAUAAUGUUGCCCUUCCUGGGAUGAAAAUUCGGUAUCUGGGGGCUGAGUGUCUCCUACGAUUCUUCGAUAAUCCACCUGCUGGCUCUCCCUCGCUGCAUCUGCAAAGUGCUUAAAACCAUACCCCUCCAUUGUCCGUCCAAGACCAGAAAUGGAGCUGCAUUGGUGUUCCCACACAGAGGAAAAAAGACCUGUGUCAGGCUACUCCGUCUGCCCCUGCACAGGAUGCACCUGCCUACAAAAAGGCACCAGCCACCUCUAGGCGUGUCGAUAAAGGGCGUCACCUAGGAGAUUCUCCCACUGAGAGGGUGUCACCGUGGAAAUGAUGCCAGCAGAAGAGUGUUGUUGUGGAGAGGCUGUUGUGCUGAUGUCUUCGAAAUCUUGGAGAAGAUUUUCUGUCAUAUAGGCAGAGGGUAAUGGAGAGGGUAGAUGAGCCCUGUACUGUACUUAUAUGUAGGAUAAAGCACUCAUUGCCCUGAGCGUUUCCUUUACACGGUGAAUGGAGUGAGUGCUACUGUCCUGCUGAGUGCUCUAUCAAGCUCUCUGUCCGGCUCCCUCUCCAUGUAUGGGUUAAUCCUGCUUUCUAUCGGUGGCACCACGUCACUUUCACAAAGAGGAUUUCAGAAUUAAAAUGAACAGGACUAGAGAUGAGCUUUGCAAAGAAAGCAGCACAUUUUUGCAGCGCAAACGGCAAGAUCAUCACUAUGGUGUGUUCUUUUUAUUUUGUCUUGCUCCACUAAAACCAAAUACAUACAACGCAUAUCAUUUCUGGAAAUAUUUGGCACCAAGGAGUGUUUUUUCUUUUAACGACUCCGGACUUGAAUGAUAAAUUUAGCUUCUCACACCAGGACCCACAGGUAUUAUUUCGUAAUGCUUCUUAUGCUUACGUCCAGGCCUCGUGGAAAAUGUGGGUUUCCAAUCCAUUGCUAAGUAAAACUGCAGCUAAAAUGAGUCUGUAUAUAAAUAAGCUCUGGUGUAACCACUCCACAUCCUAAAAAAAGCAGAGGUUAGACUCACAAGCUGACACAACAUGUACUUGUACCUUGACUCUGCCGAGUGAAGCUUGCACCUAAGUGCCAGUGUUACAUAAUCACUCUAAAAAAUUUUGUUUUUUGUUAUUGAGUGUUUCUGACAUCAGAAAAGGGUGUAAACUCAUGCCUUUGGUGGGAUGUGCAUACAGUAUGCAAAGUACAGAAUGUAUGUGUUGUGUUAUCCGUUGGUUUUUUUGUGCCUUUUUUUGUUAAACUUGUGUAGAAAUUUAGCCAGGGGAAAUGUUUCCCCUCCACACAGACACACAAGUGGGCCGUUACUCUUCUCAAAGGGAUCACCUCCAGGUGACUGACUGUUUGUGACAGUUGGUGAGACGUUAAGAUGGAAAAUCCUCUUAAGCCCGUCCUCUGAGGUUCCCCACUUACAACUCCCAUUUAUCUUCAACACAUGGCAACGGAAACCCCUUCCCCCCCACACAAUGAAGAUAACAAAUUAGAAA